rnacentral:rRNA from 1 species
UACGGAGGAUGCAAGCGUUAUCCGGAAUGAUUGGGCGUAAAGCGUCCGCAGGUGGCUAUGUAAGUCUGCUGUUAAAGAGUCUGGCUCAACCAGAUAAAGGCAGUGGAAACUACAUGGCUAGAGUGCGUUCGGGGCAGAGGGAAUUCCUGGUGUAGCGGUGAAAUGCGUAGAGAUCAGGAAGAACACCGGUGGCGAAAGCGCUCUGCUAGGCCGCAACUGACACUGAGAGACGAAAGCUAGGGGAGCGAAUGGG